CGGAGAGUUUGAUCCUGGCUCAGGACGAACGCUGGCGGCGUGCCUAAUACAUGCAAGUCGAGCGGGGUUAGUUAGAAGCUUGCUUCUAACUAACCUAGCGGCGGACGGGUGAGUAACACGUAGGCAACCUGCCCACAAGACAGGGAUAACUACCGGAAACGGUAGCUAAUACCCGAUACAUCCUUUUCCUGCAUGGGAGAAGGAGGAAAGGCGGAGCAAUCUGUCACUUGUGGAUGGGCCUGCGGCGCAUUAGCUAGUUGGUGGGGUAAAGGCCUACCAAGGCGACGAUGCGUAGCCGACCUGAGAGGGUGAUCGGCCACACUGGGACUGAGACACGGCCCAGACUCCUACGGGAGGCAGCAGUAGGGAAUCUUCCGCAAUGGGCGAAAGCCUGACGGAGCAACGCCGCGUGAGUGAUGAAGGUUUUCGGAUCGUAAAGCUCUGUUGCCAGGGAAGAACGUCUUGUAGAGUAACUGCUACAAGAGUGACGGUACCUGAGAAGAAAGCCCCGGCUAACUACGUGCCAGCAGCCGCGGUAAUACGUAGGGGGCAAGCGUUGUCCGGAAUUAUUGGGCGUAAAGCGCGCGCAGGCGGCUCUUUAAGUCUGGUGUUUAAUCCCGAGGCUCAACUUCGGGUCGCACUGGAAAC
rnacentral:rRNA from 1 species